AGUCGAGCGGCAGCACGGGUACUUGUACCUGGUGGCGAGCGGCGGACGGGUGAGUAAUGCCUAGGAAUCUGCCUGGUAGUGGGGGAUAACGCUCGGAAACGGACGCUAAUACCGCAUACGUCCUACGGGAGAAAGCAGGGGACCUUCGGGCCUUGCGCUAUCAGAUGAGCCUAGGUCGGAUUAGCUAGUUGGUGAGGUAAUGGCUCACCAAGGCGACGAUCCGUAACUGGUCUGAGAGGAUGAUCAGUCACACUGGAACUGAGACACGGUCCAGACUCCUACGGGAGGCAGCAGUGGGGAAUAUUGGACAAUGGGCGAAAGCCUGAUCCAGCCAUGCCGCGUGUGUGAAGAAGGUCUUCGGAUUGUAAAGCACUUUAAGUUGGGAGGAAGGGCAGUUACCUAAUACGUGAGUGUUUUGACGUUACCGACAGAAUAAGCACCGGCUAACUCUGUGCAGUCAGCCGCGGUAAUACAGAGGGUGCAAGCGUU
rnacentral:rRNA from 2 species